GCCAGAUAGCACAGUUGGUAGAGCACCUGACUAGAGAUUCAGGGGGCCUGGGUCCGAAUCCCGGUCUGGACG
rnacentral:tRNA from 1 species